rnacentral:rRNA from 1 species
AGAGUUUGAUCCUGGCUCAGGAUGAACGCUAGCGGCAGGCUUAACACAUGCAAGUCGAGGGGUAUGGGUAGCUUGCUAUCCAGAGACCGGCGCACGGGUGCGUAACGCGUAUGCAAUCUACCUUUUACAGGGGGAUAGCCCAGAGAAAUUUGGAUUAAUACCCCAUGGUAUAUGUGAAUGGCAUCAUUUACAUAUUAAAGUCACAACGGUAAAAGAUGAGCAUGCGUCCCAUUAGCUAGUUGGUAAGGUAACGGCUUACCAAGGCUACGAUGGGUAGGGGUCCUGAGAGGGAGAUCCCCCACACUGGUACUGAGACACGGACCAGACUCCUACGGGAGGCAGCAGUGAGGAAUAUUGGACAAUGGGCGCAAGCCUGAUCCAGCCAUGCCGCGUGCAGGAUGACGGUCCUAUGGAUUGUAAACUGCUUUUGUACGGGAAGAAACACUCCUUCGUGAAGGAGCUUGACGGUACCGUAAGAAUAAGGAUCGGCUAACUCCGUGCCAGCAGCCGCGGUAAUACGGAGGAUCCAAGCGUUAUCCGGAAUCAUUGGGUUUAAAGGGUCCGUAGGCGGCCUGGUAAGUCAGUGGUGAAAGCCCAUCGCUCAACGGUGGAACGGCCAUUGAUACUGCCAGGCUUGAAUUUCCAGGAAGCAACUAGAAUAUGUAGUGUAGCGGUGAAAUGCUUAGAUAUUACAUGGAAUACCAAUUGCGAAGGCAGGUUGCUACUGGUGGAUUGACGCUGAUGGACGAAAGCGUGGGUAGCGAACAGGAUUAGAUACCCUGGUAGUCCACGCCGUAAACGAUGGAUACUAGCUGUUGGGGGCAACCUCAGUGGCUAAGCGAAAGUGAUAAGUAUCCCACCUGGGAG